UACGAAGGGGGCUAGCGUUGUUCGGAAUUACUGGGCGUAAAGCGUGCGUAGACGGUUAUGUAAGUCAGAUGUGAAAGCCCCGGGCUCAACCUGGGAAUUGCAUUUGAGACUGCAUAGCUAGGGUGCGGAAGAGGGAAGCGGAAUUUCCGGUGUAGCGGUGAAAUGCGUAGAUAUCGGAAGGAACACCAGUGGCGAAAGCGGCUUCCUGGUCCAGCACCGACGUUCAGGCACGAAAGCGUGGGGAGCAAACAGG
rnacentral:rRNA from 1 species